CAAACUUGGCGGUGGUCGAGGUGCAAAGAAGCGAUAUAGCUGGACAGACCUCCCAGCAAUACGGGUCGGGGAAUGUUAGCGACGGUCACUCGGUGUAUACUGGCCUUGAACCGAUCACAAAUUCUGACAGGACGACUGACAUUGACAGGACAAAUUACAAUGAUGAGACAACUGACAUUGACAUUGAGAAAGAAAACAGAAAAGAAAGUAGUAACUGAUAUCACAUGUGCAAAUCAAAACUUAUAUCUUAUUAGUACAUAUUAGUUAAAAUCUUUACUGAAUUUGUAUCCUAAUCAUUACAUGCAGAAAAUCGAUUCCAUAAGACUGACACAGUGGACUUUACACGUGAAGAGGAUUAAAAUUUCUUAAAGCAUUCACACACCAACGCUGGGUUUGCUAAAGAAGAUCCGAAAACUCACAGAGGUCCAUAUCGUCAGCA